UAACGACUCUCGGCAACGGAUAUCUCGGCUCUCGCAUCGAUGAAGAACGUAGCGAAAUGCGAUACUUGGUGUGAAUUGCAGAAUCCCGUGAACCAUCGAGUCUUUGAACGCAAGUUGCGCCCCAAGCCGUCAGGCCGAGGGCACGUCUGCCUGG
rnacentral:rRNA from 7 species